CCUACGGGAGGCAGCAGUGGGGAAUAUUGCACAAUGGGCGCAAGCCUGAUGCAGCGACGCCGCGUGAGGGAUGACGGCCUUCGGGUUGUAAACCUCUUUCAGUAGGGAAGAAGCGAAAGUGACGGUACCUGCAGAAGAAGCGCCGGCUAACUACGUGCCAGCAGCCGCGGUAAUACGUAGGGCGCAAGCGUUAUCCGGAAUUAUUGGGCGUAAAGAGCUCGUAGGCGGUUUGUCACGUCUGCCGUGAAAGUCCGGGGCUCAACUCCGGAUCUGCGGUGGGUACGGGCAGACUAGAGUGAUGUAGGGGGGACUGGAAUUCCUGGUGUAGCGGUGAAAUGCGCAGAUAUCAGGAGGAACACCGAUGGCGAAGGCGGGUCUCUGGGCAUUAACUGACGCUGAGGAGCGAAAGCAUGGGGAGCGAACAGGAUUAGAUACCCUGAUAGUCCAUGCCGUAAACGUUGGGCACUAGGUGUGGGGGACAUUCCACGUUUUCCGCGCCGUAGCUAACGCAUUAAGUGCCCCGCCUGGGGAGUACGGCCGCAAGGCUAAAACUCAAAGGAAUUGACGGGGGCCCGCACAAGCGGCGGAGCAUGCGGAUUAAUGCGAUGCAACGCGAAGAACCUUAC
rnacentral:rRNA from 1 species